GUGUCAAUCAUGAGGAAUUUAUAUUGCCUUGAGGAGAGGUGAUGACUUAAAUAUCAUGUACAAUGGCAUGACGCUGAAGCCC
rnacentral:snoRNA from 1 species